UGUCUUUCUCCUCUCCUCACAUGAUCUCUUCACGUUCCCUCUCCUCACACAAUAUCCUCUUCACGAUCUCCUCACACGAUCUUCUCCUCUCCUCGUAUGUUUUUGCCUUCCACCCCUCUCAACGAAACCCACUCCUCAAAACUCCUCACUCCAAAGUGAUAGUUGUUUCCCCAAACUUUGCAGCCGCCGCCGAAGCCAUUGUCGAUGGCUUGAGAAAUCCUCGAUGGAUUGCUCCACUGAUAAAGAUUAGGAUUCUGCAAGCACUUCUCGGGGCAUUUUAUUAGCGAGCAUCGUUGGAUUCGCCUGUGCCCUUACUUUCAAUUCAGCUGUGACGACCACAAUUUACCCUUGCGAAGAUGUGGACAGAUACUACACUGGCAUUGAUGGGCUUCAAGGCGCCGCCCUGAUGAAGAAGCUCAAUUCCAUUGUUUAUGUUUAUCAAUUGCUGCGUUACAAAGACGUACUUCUCUGUUUCUCUGCUUCAAGUAUAAUUAGCUGUUAAUUGUUUACCUGUUAGAUCUGCUACGCUCUCAAGAUUCUUGAUGCGGUAGAUAUCAAAAACCCAAAAGCCUCCUCAGCUGCAGUUUGUAAGCUUGGUGGUUGGUUCCAUGUUUUUUUAGCUUUCUAACAUAGAACUACUUGCCUAGGUCUUUAUGUACAGAGUUGAGAUCUAUUCUCUUAGAGCUGUUCCAAAAUCAUUGGCCGAAAACUCAGAAGGAUGAAACAGCCACCUUUGAUUGUCUCAUGAAGACCUAUGGAUUUGUCCCUUCGGAUGAGUCUAGUGGCUAACGUAUGAGGUGUUGUCAUCAUGAUGUCUGGGAUUCGAAUCUUGGCAAAGCCGAGAUAAAUGUCUUCCUUAUGUACUAGUCACUAUUCCAAAGGCUAGUGGCAGCCCGUGAGUUACCUCCUCCGUAUUGGCCCUGGACAGAUUGGCGGGGGCGUUGGGGGCGAAUGUAUUCGCCUUUUGCCAUCAUGAAGACCUAUGGAUUCUUGACACCCGACUUAUGGUUAGAAACCCGCUUCAGCAAAUCUCCCUUCCAAGAAUACACAGACUUGCUCGCAAAGCCUACCAAGGCAAUUCUCUUCGAAAAUUCAGAGAUGAUCAAAGCUUAGGACUCGUAGAACUCCAUCCGCUCUCCCAUCACCCGCCUCUCACAGUUGUGCCUAAAUGGGACCUGAGUUUAGCAUUUUUGAUUUUAUACCUAUUAUCUGUUGAAAUUUAUGUAUGGCAUGCAAUAAUUAUAUAAUUUGUGCAUAGUUGUCAUUGAA